UGACCUGAGUGUGAUUGACUGAGGCAUCUGUCACCCCACUGGUUACUAGUGGCUGACUAGGAGAUGUCUUCUUCCUCUCUUACCUCUCCAUGUUCAUCCCGUCCGAAGCUGUCGGCUCAGUUGAAGAGGAUGACCUUGCCAGAUAGAGGAGGACCCUUUGUGGGUCCAGGAUAUAUUAGAGAAUCUCUUCCCAGCUAGAAUCACCAAAUUAGCUCUCAAGGUUCAGUAGUUUCUGGGAAUCCAGGCAGCUAACUGUGGGGUGAAUCCCCGCUCCGUCCUCUGCAG
rnacentral:snRNA from 1 species